AAUAUUUGAAUCCAUGUACCUAAGAACUCAAUGUUGUGACCGUUGGUCUUAUUUGAAAAAAAAUUAUGAUUAAUAUUUUUAUUAUUAUUAGAUGAUAAAAUAUAAAUAAUACUUUAUGUGUGACUUUUUUUUAAAAAAAAUUCAUAAAUUUUUCAAAUAAAACGACAAACGUUGAAUACGGAUAUUUACGGCUUAACUUAUU
rnacentral:pre_miRNA from 1 species